UCACAUGCAAACAAACAAGCAUCAAACAAAGGAAGUAGUGAAGCAAAGCAAAUAAAAGCAUUAUAUCAACCACAUACAAGGGUAUGGGCAUAAACAUAUUAAAAGCAUCGCACAUACAAGGCAUUAGACAUCGCACAAAAGGAUUUUGAAAAGUAGGAAGGAUUUCUUGCAAUUUUAGAAAGAUUUGGGGAAAAAUGCCAUUUUGGCAAUUUUGGGGAAAAAUAUGGGUCAAAAUAUGAUUUUGAGAAAGUUUUAGGUAAAUAUAAAUAUAUGACAAGUUUGUUGAACAAAAUGCAAAUAUAACUAAGUUAUGGACCAAUAUGCAAAUAUGACAUAGUUCCAUGACAUAAUGCGAACAUGGCAAAUAUGAUGGCAUAUUGAAUUAUUAUGAAGAAGCUAGCCAUACAUCCUUUUUAUUAAUAUUUGGGCUAAAACUUACUAAAAAGUGAGAUGGGUUAAUUCUAAAGGUGGACCUGGGCUAGGCUCUAAAAGCUGAUGGGCUUGAACUAGUGAAUUGAGAGAAGUUCAGAGAUCUGAACCCAUAUCAUCCUCGGAUUGGGCCUAGGGCCCUCAUCUGGCCCAAAUCUUACUUAGGGAACCGGUUCGGACCCAGCUAAACGGGUCUGGCCGACCCGCUUCAAAAAUCUUUCCCUAACCUACCGUUUACCUCUGGAUCUUGAACUUCCAGAGCCUUCACUCUCUCUCACACCCGAGCCUCCAUGGCCCAGUACCCGAACUCGUCACUCCGAUCACCAGCACCACCACUUCGGUGGUCUUCUCCAUCUCCGAACCAAGUCUCUCAACCUCGAAAUCUCUCUCUACUCCUCGGAUCUGAACCGUCUCUCUGUCUCAGACCACCAUGGCCGAAGCCUCUCAAACUCAUCACCGCCAACAACGGCGGUGGUUUCACAUCUCAGUCUCAACUUCUCUCUAAAACCGAAACCUAUAACCUAGCUCGCUCUGGAUCGGUCUCACCCUCUCUUCGAUCUAAACGAGGCACAGCCUCCUAGCUCCGUCGUGAAGCCCAGCCGCCACCACCACGAUGGUGGUUCCCAACCUCUCAUCCUUUCUCUCUCUAAACCCGAGCCUAACCCUUCAUUUUUAUCCGAUCUCUCUCUCUAAAACCUAGAACUCAACUUCUCGAUCUACCACCUAGGAGAGCCCCAAACGGCGCGUGGAACAUGAAUCGGUGUUGUGUAGGUUGUUAAAGCCUUCACGGAUCUGCCAAGGACCGUGGCCGCGGUGACGCGUGAGAUCACAUGUGGUGGCGCGUGAGCGCGUGAACAACACAGGUAUGACCGAGGGUAAGGCUAAACCUAAAAGCAAUAGAGUUUAAGAACAAACCAAUUCCAAACUAUGACAAAUUGGUUGAGCUUUAUGGAAAAGAUAGAGAAACUGGGAAACAAACCAAGAUUGUGGUAAAUGUUCAUGGGAUUUUUUUUCUUUGUAUUUUGGAUUUCAUGCUCUUUUGUUUUUCCAUGUUCUAUUUGAGGGCUACAUUGUGUUUUGCAGAUAAAUUUGGUCUUGUUUACACAAUAAAAACAUCCACAGGAAUUGUAAUCA